AUGUUAUGGCAUCAAGAAAGAAUGGAAAAAUACAAUGAAGAAUCGGAGAAGACGAGUGUACUUACCUGCGAAGCUCUUGGAGAAAAUGAUGAUGAUGUGCGAAUACGAUAUGGUGCAAUUUAUUAUGGAGGUGAUGAAUCAAAUGAAGACCAAAGUUGUUGUAUGAAGAUGAUUGAAGAAUUACAGAAGUGUACAAUUUCAGGGUCAUCCAUAUGGGUGCAUAAAGUGCAAGGCAGGACUAAGGUGAUGGCGAAGCAUGGAUAG